AGCUGAUAUGGUGGUUUCAUCCCCGUCUGAUUCUCAGUGGGCAUACACAUAGUGCUUGUGAAGUGCUGCACGUGGGGAAAAUUCCAGAAAUCAGCGUCCCGUCAUUCAGUUGGAGGAAUAGAAACAAUCCUAGUUUCAUCAUGGGCAGCAUAACACCAACUGACUUCUCCCUCCAAAAAUGCUUCCUUCCAUAUGAAAGCAGAGUCUUUACUAUAUACUGUGCAGCAGGUGCUCUGCUUGUAAUCCUGAUACUAGCUCAUUUUCAGCUUCUCACUCCACCAUUUUAUUUUGCUCAGCGUUUAAUCAGUAAGCGUAAAGCAGUAUGAAGAGCCAGACAUCUGCAUUCAGUCACUGAAAUACCAAAGCUGAGAACAGUCAAACAUCAGACUAUAUUCAUGCCAGCAAAUGACCUAAUUUGAUUGCUAGUCUGAAGGCAGGUUGCAUUUACACAUACCAUAUAAGUCCUAUACAGCUGAUAUGACUACUACAGGAUAAAUAAUUAACUGAAAUUAAUGUUUCAUGCUGUACAAAAAUACUGUAUUCUACAAUCAAAUGAGUCCUUUUCCUGCUGUAAUUUUUGUAUCAAAUAUGUAUAUUAAAAGUGUAACUGUACAUAUGUAAA